rnacentral:lncRNA from 1 species
AAGAUUUCAUGGGGCAUGCAAAGCAGGCAGGUUCCAAGCGGCUAACAAGGCUGCUUGUUUGAGCUACUUUAAGAAUAACUGGAUGUGUAAAAAUUUGAAUUUGAGGCCAGUGGGCUUUUGAGCUGAUGGUUCCCAGCCUGCUGUGAAGAAAUAAACUACCAAGUGGUCAAUACCCAGAGGCCAUCGUGGGCUCAUUUAUAGAAUGCCUUACCUGGGUUCUGGGCAGUUCUUCCAAAGACUGUGACAAGGUCACUCCCUGAAUUGAAUCACUGUGUUCUUCCCCAAAUGGGAAAUAAACAUAUGACGAGGGAGAGCCUGAGCCCCACUGGGAACGAUGUCUCUCCUGUGGAGAACCACAUGACCUCAGACCACAUCCACCCAGCUCCUUACUCAGAAUCACAGCAACACACUUCUUUGGCAUUUCUCUUCAAUGUUGGCUUCUAUGGAUGUUUUCUGUUCCCUCUUCGCUGGCCUGGAGUCCUUAAGCCUCUACCUCCUGCCUUCAAAUCUGCCUUUUCAUUUCCUGAAGUGACUGUCGUCAGCUCGCCUCCAUGGUUAGAGACUAGAAUCGUGGAGCCCAAUGUUUCCAACAGUGAGGUCCGUGGAACCUAAGUCUUGGAGAUAUUGACUGAGCACCUGGUGGGAUAGAUGCUGCAACAACAACUUCAUCACCUGGACAAACACCAAAUUCAGACUUGCCUCUGGUUUUCUCUCUGGGGAGCCUGCACAGUGAAAAAAUUACAGGUUUGGGAGUCAGAGGAAUGGACUUUUUUAAGCCCCAGCCCUGGCAUUCACUAGCUAGUCCCUGGAGGAAACACUGUAAAUUUUCCAAGCCUCAGUUUCUUCACAUAGAAAAUGAUUAUAAUGAUUCCUCUUAAAUAAGAUACUGCCAUAUGUUAACAGCAUUUUAUUAGCUAUAAAGUGCGGAAGGGUUUCCUCCCUCUUCAAGAGUCUGCUGGGAUUCCACUGUCAUGGACAACAUUUCAUUCUUAUGAAAUUAAAAUCUCACCUACAGGCAGGAUUCUGCCAGUGCUUAUGCUAUACAGACAUAUGGAAUGCAAAUGUCCUCGGAGGAGCACACAGCCUUGUUGGCAGGAUGAGACAGGAUUCUUGAAAGCUGUACUAAAUGUGACUGGUGCUGAAAAAAAAAUGGAUGUCUUAGGAUAUGUUCUUGCUUUUUAAUGGAAAAAGAAACGUGAAUGCAUAAAUAUGUAUAAUGUGAGAAUAUCUUUCAUACAAAUAGGACAUUAAAUGAUAGUGUCUAUGGAAGCAUGAUGAGAAGAUAUGCUAGGAACGUGCUGGGCACAAUUAGGGGCACGGUAGAAUGUGAGAUAGUCCAGGCUGUGAGUACGGGAUCUGUAGCCAGAAUGCCUGGUUGGAAUCCAGCCUCUGUCAUUUCUUUGCAGUGUGUCUUGAGAAAGUGACUGAACAUCUCGCUGUGCCUCAGUUUCUCCCUCUUCUAAAAGAGGAUGAUGGGGUGCCUAUUUCAUACGGUUGUGAGGAUUAAGUGAUUUGAUGCAUAUAAAAUAUUCAAGAUGGUGCCUGGCAUAUGCUAAACACGAAGUAAAUAUAACCUAUUAUCAUCAUUAUCAAGGACUUGCGGAUAACUGAUGCUACUGAGCCGAUGGAGCGUGGUGUAGCAGAACAGCUCAGGUGCUAGAAAUAGCCAGUCUCAUUGACUCAACUGUGUUUCCUCAGAGAAUCCCGAUUCUCAUUUUUCCUAUCUGUAAAUGGAAGGGAGGAUAGCAAAUAAUAAUAAAUGUUAUUUGGUGACU